CAUGCAAGUCGAGCGGGGGAAGGUAGCUUGCUACUGGACCUAGCGGCGGACGGGUGAGUAAUGCUUAGGAAUCUGCCUAUUAGUGGGGGACAACAUCUCGAAAGGGAUGCUAAUACCGCAUACGUCCUACGGGAGAAAGCAGGGGAUCUUCGGACCUUGCGCUAAUAGAUGAGCCUAAGUCGGAUUAGCUAGUUGGUGGGGUAAAGGCCUACCAAGGCGACGAUCUGUAGCGGGUCUGAGAGGAUGAUCCGCCACACUGGGACUGAGACACGGCCCAGACUCCUACGGGAGGCAGCAGUGGGGAAUAUUGGACAAUGGGCGCAAGCCUGAUCCAGCCAUGCCGCGUGUGUGAAGAAGGCCUUAUGGUUGUAAAGCACUUUAAGCGAGGAGGAGGCUACUUUAGAUAAUACCUAGAGAUAGUGGACGUUACUCGCAGAAUAAGCACCGGCU
rnacentral:rRNA from 1 species